AUUGAACGCUGGCGGCAGGCUUAACACAUGCAAGUCGAGCGGGGUGAGGUGCUUCGGUACUGAUCCUAGCGGCGGACGGGUGAGUAAUGCUUAGGAAUCUGCCAUUUAGUGGGGGACAACAUUCCGAAAGGAAUGCUAAUACCGCAUACGUCCUACGGGAGAAAGCAGGGGAUCUUCGGACCUUGCGCUAAAUGAUGAGCCUAAGUCGGAUUAGCUAGUUGGUGGGGUAAAGGCCCACCAAGGCGACGAGCUGUAGCGGGUCUGAGAGGAUGAUCCGCCACACUGGGACUGAGACACGGCCCAGACUCCUACGGGAGGCAGCAGUGGGGAAUAUUGGACAAUGGGCGGAAGCCUGAUCCAGCCAUGCCGCGUGUGUGAAGAAGGCCUUUUGGUUGUAAAGCACUUUAAGCGAGGAGGAGGCUACCUGGAUUAAUACUCUAGGAUAGUGGACGUUACUCGCAGAAUAAGCACCGGCUAACUCUGUGCCAGCCGCCGCCGUAA
rnacentral:rRNA from 1 species